GUAAAUGGUUUUCCAAGUUUUGAAGUAUUAAUAAAACUCGACUUAAUGAAGUUAAAGCUUAUCCUAGAGCUCAAUAAGUUUCUCAUGUGACCUGCUGUAGGAAAUUCUAAGAAACAACAUAACAAGCCUUCUGGCAGUACAAAAACGAAGUCUGCUGAAACAGAAAUUUCUGUCUCAAGACUUGACAUACCUAUUGGCCUCAUCAAAAAAGUUCAGAAGCACCCAGAUGCAGAUUCACUCUAUGUUGAAGAAAUUGAUGUCGGUGAAGAAUCCCCUCGAACAGUUGUUAGUGGCCUCGUGAAAUAUAUUCCUCUUGAGGAAAUGCAGAAUCGGAAGGUUUGUGUCCUUUGUAACUUGAAGCCUGCAACCAUGAGGGGCAUUAAGUCACAAGCAAUGGUCUUGGCUGCAUCAAACGAUGACCACACAAAGGUUGAGUUAGUUGAUCCACCAUCAUCAGCCAAGGUUGGUGAACGAGUGACCUUUCCG